ACCGCCAGCUAAGGUCCCAAAGUCAUGGUUAAGUGGGAAACGAUGUGGGAAGGCCCAGACAGCCAGGAUGUUGGCUUAGAAGCAGCCAUCAUUUAAAGAAAGCGUAAUAGCUCACUGGUCGAGUCGGCCUGCGCGGAAGAUGUAACGGGGCUAAACCAUGCACCGAAGCUGCGGCAGCGACGCUUAUGCGUUGUUGGGUAGGGGAGCGUUCUGUAAGCCUGUGAAGGUGUACUGUGAGGUAUGCUGGAGGUAUCAGAAGUGCGAAUGCUGACAUAAGUAACGAUAAAGCGGGUGAAAAGCCCGCUCGCCGGAAGACCAAGGGUUCCUGUCCAACGUUAAUCGGGGCAGGGUGAGUCGACCCCUAAGGCGAGGCCGAAAGGCGUAGUCGAUGGGAAACAGGUUAAUAUUCCUGUACUUGGUGUUACUGCGAAGGGGGGACGGAGAAGGCUAUGUUGGCCGGGCGACGGUUGUCCCGGUUUAAGCGUGUAGGCUGGUUUUCCAGGCAAAUCCGGAAAAUCAAGGCCGAGGCGUGAUGACGAGGCACUACGGUGCUGAAGCAACAAAUGCCCUGCUUCCAGGAAAAGCCUCUAAGCAUCAGGUAACAUCAAAUCGUACCCCAAACCGACACAGGUGGUCAGGUAGAGAAUACCAAGGCGCUUGAGAGAACUCGGGUGAAGGAACUAGGCAAAAUGGUGCCGUAACUU
rnacentral:rRNA from 1 species